rnacentral:rRNA from 1 species
AAAUUGAAGAGUUUGAUCAUGGCUCAGAUUGAACGCUGGCGGCAGGCCUAACACAUGCAAGUCGAACGGUAACAGGAAGAAGCUUGCUUCUUUGCUGACGAGUGGCGGACGGGUGAGUAAUGUCUGGGAAACUGCCUGAUGGAGGGGGAUAACUACUGGAAACGGUAGCUAAUACCGCAUAACGUCGCAAGACCAAAGAGGGGGACCUUCGGGCCUCUUGCCAUCGGAUGUGCCCAGAUGGGAUUAGCUAGUAGGUGGGGUAACGGCUCACCUAGGCGACGAUCCCUAGCUGGUCUGAGAGGAUGACCAGCCACACUGGAACUGAGACACGGUCCAGACUCCUACGGGAGGCAGCAGUGGGGAAUAUUGCACAAUGGGCGCAAGCCUGAUGCAGCCAUGCCGCGUGUAUGAAGAAGGCCUUCGGGUUGUAAAGUACUUUCAGCGGGGAGGAAGGGAGUAAAGUUAAUACCUUUGCUC